rnacentral:rRNA from 1 species
UACGUAGGGGGCAAGCGUUGUCCGGAAUCAUUGGGCGUAAAGAGCGUGUAGGCGGCCCGAUAAGUCCGCUGUGAAAGUCCAGGGCUCAACCCUGGGAUGCCGGUGGAUACUGUCGGGCUCGAGUCCGGAAGAGGAGUGUGGAAUUCCUGGUGUAGCGGUGAAAUGCGCAGAUAUCAGGAGGAACACCAAUGGCGAAGGCAGCACUCUGGGACGUGACUGACACUGAGACGCGAAAGCGUGGGGAGCAAACAGG